CGUUCCCGGGCCUUGUACACACCGCCCGUCACACCAUGGGAGUUGGUUUGGCCUUAAGCCGGUGCGCCAACCGCAAGGGGGUAGCCGUCCACGGCCGGGUCAGCGACUGGGGUG
rnacentral:rRNA from 1 species